rnacentral:rRNA from 1 species
UGGGGAAUUUUGGACAAUGGGCGAAAGCCUGAUCCAGCAAUGCCGCGUGUGUGAAGAAGGCCUUCGGGUUGUAAAGCACUUUUGUCCGGAAAGAAAUCCUUGGCUCUAAUACAGUCGGGGGAUGACGGUACCGGAAGAAUAAGCACCGGCUAACUACGUGCCAGCAGCCGCGGUAAUACGUAGGGUGCAAGCGUUAAUCGGAAUUACUGGGCGUAAAGCGUGCGCAGGCGGUUUGCUAAGACCGAUGUGAAAUCCCCGGGCUCAACCUGGGAACUGCAUUGGUGACUGGCAGGCUAGAGUAUGGCAGAGGGGGGUAGAAUUCCACGUGUAGCAGUGAAAUGCGUAGAGAUGUGGAGGAAUACCGAUGGCGAAGGCAGCCCCCUGGGCCAAUACUGACGCUCAUGCACGAAAGCGUGGGGAGCAAACAGGAUUAGAUACCCUGGUAGUCCACGCCCUAAAACGAUGUCAACUAGUUGUUGGGGAUUCAUUUCCUUAGUAACGUAGCUAACGCGUGAAGUUGACCGCCUGGGGAGUGCGGUCGCAAGAUUAAAACUUAAAUGAAUUGACGGGGUCAUAGCUGUUUCCU